GCCGCGCGAGAGCUGCAGCCGCGGUGGAGCAGCUUCGGGCUGAGGCGAGCUGGCGAGCGGGCAGGAGGCGCGCUGCGCGUGCGCACCCGCAGCGCCGCCCAGCGGGAGUUGUAGUUUCUGAUCGGUCCCCACCAACGCGGCGGCGGGGGCGGCGGACUACGACUCCCAGGAAGCCUCGCGCCCACGAGCCCCGAACCCGAGGACGCGGCGAGCGCGGCGCCCGGCCCUCUCCGGCAAGGACUGUCAAUGGAGGCGCGGGUGGUGGGAGCAAGAACAUGGCUGCACCUGGGGCCUGCGCGGCCGCCUGGGUGGGGGAGGGGAGCCGGGACAUGGGGGCGCAAAUCUAGGCCGGGGGUGGCCCUCGCCCGCUCACUGCCCGGAUGCGGCCGGCCUCAGCCACAGUUCAGGACCUGCCCUCACUCUUGCACCCCAGAUUCCCUGCCGAUUGCGAGGCCGGAACUCGGCAAAGGCCGGGGAGCCCCAGCCGGCCUGCCGCUCUCGGUGCUCCGCCAAGGGACUUCCUCCGCGCUGCACCACCCUCCGGGACACAAAGAACUCCUGUUAGUUUUGAAAGCUUGCCUCAAAAGCGGCCGAAAGAGAAUGUUGCCCCAACUUUUGGACGGACGAUGGGAGGGGACUCUCCUGUUUUUAUUUUCCGCCCCCCCCCGGCUUGCUUUCCGCACGCCCUCUCACUCAUCAUUUAGAAGGAAAGUUGAGGCAAAGCCACUGAAUGAGAGCAGAAAACCUGCCUUGUAGCCCGUUUUGUUCUGUCAAGCGCGUAGAAAUGUUACCGAAACCUCUCCCCCCAACUAACUGGUUUGCUUCUCAACUUGAGCUCUCGAAUUCCGAAAAUGAUGAGACAUGGCUGUUCACCUAAGCGAAACGCAAAAAGUUUACCAAACUCGAGCCCCGAGGUCUUAGCUCUGUAAAGCACGAGAUGGAGUGAUUUUUUGCGAUUUUUACCCCCCAGCGGAGACGGGGGGAGGUGUGGGGGGGACCGCACGCCGGCCAUCCUCCCCCUCCCCCUCCUCCUCGGUAGGUGGCGACCACGGCGCUUUUUCCAGCCUUUGUCGCUGGAAACAAAACUUUCCGAGAGCAGCCAGGCUUUUGAUGUAGGUCCAAGACCUUCCCUUUGAGUCUUCGUUCACAGAUUGGCGGUUCCCCAUCUUUCUUGCCAUAGACCGCACCCACAAAGGCGGCCGAAUCCAGAAUUUCCAUGUCGGGAUUCUUUAAGAUAGCUGGAUGGAGACUUGUAAAGAUUCCCGCGGAAGCGGUCCGAUUGCAGAUUUCCACAUUUUUCACGGUUUCCCCUGCAGCGUUUUGCAGGCAUUUUGUCCCCGCCUGACUCGGCUGGGACUCUUCCUUUGUCGAGUCCCUCCGAAGCGUUCGUUUCGUCGUCAUGAGGCGUUUGCUUUUUGCACUCGUAUUUCAUUAACGUGUUGGAAUAUUUGAUUAAACGCCGUAUGCCCAGUAGCACGUAAAACUGACAUGUAUGUAGGGAACACACGUUAACUUUGGGAAAAGUCUGCAGUUGAGCUGAUGGGGAGCAGUCAGCCUUCCAGGGGCAAAAAACCACUCAGAGGCUUUGAGCACCGGUGAGUAUGUUUGUCGCAGGCUGCAGGACACUGGAGGUUGAGGACAGUGAAGGAAGGAUUCACUGGGUGCACUGGUGUCAUGGAGUAGCAGUAGGGAGUGUUAGAAAGUGAGCUGGCAAGGCCAAAAAAAAAAAAAGUUCAUUGGGUCAAGAUUCUGCUUGUGAUCAUUAAAAACUUGUUUGGGAGAUAGCCCCUGGCUUCUACGAAUUUAACACUUCAGUGUGGGAUUUUCAAACAGCUGCUUCAUGAGCAACUCCAACGCCUUGUUAAAAUCCUAAAUUUGAGUUUAAAAACUUGUUAAAUCCUGAAGCACUUUCUCACGCCUUAGCUAGCUUUGAAUUGCAGCUAGAUAAAAAGCUGGCCCUUUGGGGACAAGGAACAGCAAAUGGAAGGGUGUGUGGUUUGAACAGUGUGUGGAGGCCAACUCUUUUUUUUUUUUUCCCCGCCUACUGCUAUUGGGGGCUGUCACCCUCAAAUUUAUGUCUUCUAGUCACAGAUGCACUUUUAGAGUCUUCCCUAAGGCCUGGCUCACCACCUUGGCAGUUCCUGUUACACUUGUUGCUUUUCAUUAGCCAUUUUGCCCCUCACCUUGGGGUAGGUGUUAUGUCAAUAUGUUAAUCAUGACCCUGGCAAUGAGCAGAUGAGCGGCUGAAUACCAUCUCAGCACAGCAAGUUGUUCCUCCCCACCCCCCACCCCAGGAUCAUAUUGCUGUUUUUGGGGGUUGAGCAACAGAUGAAAAAAAAACAAGCGAUUUGUGUUCAGGGGUGGAAUCCUUUGUUAAAGUGCCCUCAGCUCACUGUGUUCAGAAUCACAUUGAACAGAGCAAGGUGUAUACACUAAGCCUGAUCUGAGGCUCUUGGAUCGUGCUCACUUAAGACAAAAGUGUACACAGGCCAACAGGCGGCAGAAUCUUGCAUGUUAUUUAUUUUGGAUUAUUUCAAACAUUUCUCUUUUUGACGUGUGACCUAGUGUGCACAGUCCUGCAGAUGAGCAUCCAUAUAGAAUGACUCCAUUCUACUGAACACCUGGGAAACAGAAGCCAAGUCUAAUGGGCCUUGGCCAGUCGAGAGAUGGGUCCCCACCAACUGUGAACUCGUCCACCAGGCACAAAUACAUCUUCCUAUAGACUGA